ACAGGGGUGGAAGGUGAGUCAAUAGGGCAUAUGGCUACCAACCUGAAGGUUGCGGGUUCGAUUCCCGCCCUUUGCA